GAAUACCUGGGAACUUUCCCCAUGGCAUGGCUUCGCUGGAAAAUCUUCUUUGAAAAGACAACAAACUCCACCUGGAAGAACAGGAAAAUGCUCUAGACCUGGGAUGUGGCUGGAAGAGGCAGACCAAGGCUUCCUGAACAAAAGCUUCAGAUGGAAAGAACCACAGAUCUUGGCAAACUCCACACUCUGUAGACUACUAUCCAGAUCCAGUGGAUUCAAUCCAUGGAUGCUGAAAACAUUUGAAAAUGUAGCUGCUCCUAGCUUCCUCCUUGUAAAUCAGACCAUUCAUCUCUCUAUCAUGUCCACAGGAGGCCUGAGGAGGGACCAGACCAGGCUGGUUUGCAAACAGAAGCUUGGGAAUCCCCAAACACACGCCCCUUGGAACAGGCUCAUAAUCUGAUGGCAUCUGCAAGCUGCAGCUCAAGCCAAGACUCCAUGCUCUCGGCUUCCCUGCACUGGCUCAGUGGCUUCCGCGUCUGUGCAUGUGCAUUUAUGUGCAUGCAUGCAUGUGGGAUGGGACAUGUUUGGGUGAGUGCAUCUUCAGGUGCACCUAGCACAGUCUCUGGGCUCUACUGAUAAUAUAUCUCACACAUACUAUGUACAGUUAUCUGUCAAAUGCUACAAAUGUUGCAAUGAAUAAAACACAUUUUAAAGCAU